GAGUGCUUAUGCGGUACAUUGGGAUCCAGAUCAUGCACCUUCAAAAAAUGGUUUCGAUGAGAGUGCUUAUGCAGUUCAUUGGGAUCCAGAUCAUGCACCUUCAAAAGGAAAUGGGUUUGCUGAAAGUUCUUAUGCGGUGCAUUGGGAUCCAGAUCGUGCCCCUUCAA